AUGAGCGCACGAGUUGGAGACUUUGGCAUAUCAAGGAUCCAUCAAGAAAAUACAAGCAAGGGGAUGCAAACUUCAUAUAGCUCAACUGGAAUUAGAGGUUGGAUAGGCUAUAUUGCUCCAGAGUAUGGAGAUGGCUCUGCGGUCUCAACAGCUGGUGAUAUUUAUAGUCUUGGCAUAUUGCUGCUUGAGAUGUUUACAGGCAGGAGCCCACCAGAGAAUGCACUUCCAGAUGAUGUCGAGGAUGCACGUUCAGAGAUUCCUUGGAUUUGCAUAAAUUUGUCGAGGAUGCACUUCCAGAUAGAACCUUUGAGAUAG
rnacentral:rRNA from 1 species